GAUGAACGCUAGCGGGAGGCCUAAUACAUGCAAGUCGAACGGUAACAGGGGUAGCAAUACCUGCUGACGAGUGGCGCACGGGUGCGUAACGCGUACACAACCUGCCUUAUACUGGGGCAUAACCUUGGGAAACUGAGGCUAAUUCCCCAUAAUAUAUCGAAAAGGCAUCUUUUUGAUAUUAAAACUCCGGUGGUAUAAGAUGGGUGUGCGUCCGAUUAGGUAGUUGGUGAGGUAACGGCUCACCAAGCCAACGAUCGGUAGCUGGUCUGAGAGGAUGAUCAGCCACACGGGCACUGAGACACGGGCCCGACUCCUACGGGAGGCAGCAGUAGGGAAUAUUGGACAAUGGGCGCAAGCCUGAUCCAGCCAUCCCGCGUGAAGGAUUAAGGCCCUCUGGGUUGUAAACUUCUUUUCUCUGGGAAUAAAAAGUGGGGUUCUCCCUACCUUGAAGGUACCAGAGGAAUAAGCACCGGCUAACUCCGUGCCAGCAGCCGCGGUAAGGUAGA
rnacentral:rRNA from 1 species